CAGGCGCGUGCUAUAAUGCAAGUCGAACGGACGACUUCGGUCGUUAGUGGCGAACGGGUGAGUAACGCGUUGGUGACCUGCCCCGGAGUGUGGGAUAACAGACCGAAAGGUUUGCUAACACCGCAUGAUGUCACGGAGUUUAGAAGUCCGUGAAGAAAGAAGAAAUUCGCUCUGGGAGGGGCCUGCGACCCAUCAGCUAGUUGGUAAGGUAACGGCCUACCAAGGCGAUGACGGGUAGGGGACCUGAGAGGGUGGCCCCCCACAAUGGAACUGAAACACGGUCCAUACACCUACGGGUGGCAGCAGUAGGGGAUAUUGCUUAAUGGGCGCAAGCCUGAAGCAGCAACGCCGCGUGUGCGAUGAAGGCCUUCGGGUUGUAAAGCACUUUUAGCAGGGAAGAGGAAGGACGGUACCUGCUGAAUAAGCCUCGGCUAACUACGUGCCAGCAGCCGCGGUAAAACGUAGGAGGCGAGCGUUAUCCGGAUUUACUGGGUGUAAAGCGCGUGCAGGCGGUUUGUUAAGUUGGAUGUGAAAGCUCCCGGCUCAACUGGGAGAGGUCGUUCAAGACUGGCAAACUGGAGAGCAGUAGGGGAAGGUGGAAUUCCGGGUGUAGUGGUGAAAUGCGUAGAUAUCCGGAGGAACACCAGUGGCGAAGGCGGCCUUCUGGACUGCAUCUGACGCUCAGACGCGAAAGCUAGGGGAGCAAACGGGAUUAGAGACCCCGGUAGUCCUAGCCGUAAACGAUGUGAACUUGGCGCCGGUUG
rnacentral:rRNA from 1 species